rnacentral:rRNA from 1 species
AAUCAACGCUGGCGGCGUGCCUCAGACAUGCAAGUCGAACGAUUAAAGCUCUCUUCGGAGAGUGCAUAGAGUGGCGCACGGGUGAGUAACACGUAAGUAAUCUACCCUCGAGUGGGGAAGUAACGUCCGGAACGGACGCUAAUACCGCAUAAUGCAGCGGCACCGCAAGGUGACAGUUGUUAAAGAUUUAUCGCUUGAGGAGGAGCUUGCGGCAGAUUAGCUAGUUGGUAAGGUAAUGGCUUACCAAGGCUACGAUCUGUAACCGGUCUUAGAGGACGGUCGGUCACACUGACACUGAAUAACGGGUCAGACUCCUACGGGAGGCAGCAGUCGGGAAUUUU